UCCAGACUCCUACGGGAGGCAGCAGUGGGGGAUAUUGCACAAUGGGGGGAACCCUGAUGCAGCGACGCCGCGUGGGUGAAGGAGCGUUUCGGCGCGUAAAGCCCUAUCGGCAGGGAAGAAGUAGGACGGUACCUGACUAAGAAGCCCCGGCUAACUACGUGCCAGCAGCCGCGGUAAUACGUAGGGGGCAAGCGUUAUCCGGAUUUACUGGGUGUAAAGGGGGCGCAGACGGCCUUGCAAGUCUGAUGUGAAGGGCCGGGGCCCAACCCCGGGACUGCUCUUGGAACUGCGUGGCUGGAGUGCAGGAGGGGCAGGCGGAAUUCCUGGUGUAGCGGUGAAAUGCGUAGAUAUCAGGAGGAACACCAGUGGCGAAGGCGGCCUGCUGGACGAUGACUGACGUUGAGGCUCGAAAGCGUGGGGAGCAAACAGGAUUAGAUACCCCUGUA
rnacentral:rRNA from 1 species